rnacentral:rRNA from 1 species
CCUACGGGAGGCAGCAGUAGGGAAUCUUCCACAAUGGGCGAAAGCCUGAUGGAGCAACGCCGCGUGGAUGAAGAAGGUCUUCGGAUCGUAAAACCCUGUUGUUAGAGAAGAAAGUGCGUGAGAGUAACUGUUCACGUUUCGACGGUAUCUAACCAGAAAGCCACGGCUAACUACGUGCCAGCAGCCGCGGUAAUACGUAGGGGGCAAGCGUUAUCCGGAUUUAUUGGGCGUAAAGUGAACGCAGGCGGUCUUUUAAGUCUGAUGUGAAAGCCUUCGGCUUAACCGGAGUAGUGCAUUGGAAACUGGGAGGCUUGAGUGCAGAAGAGGGGAGUAGAACUCCAGGUGUAGCGGUGAAAUGCGUAGAGAUAUGGAAGAACACCAGUGGCGAAAGCGGCUCUCUGGUCUGUAACUGACGCUGAGGUUCGAAAGCGUGGGUAGCAAACAGGAUUAGAUACCCGAGUAGUC